AUUGAACGCUGGCGGCAUGCUUUACACAUGCAAGUCGAACGGUAACAGGCCGCAAGGUGCUGACGAGUGGCGAACGGGUGAGUAAUGCAUCGGAACGUGCCCAGUCGUGGGGGAUAACGCAGCGAAAGCUGCGCUAAUACCGCAUACGAUCUAUGGAUGAAAGCGGGGGACCGUAAGGCCUCGCGCGAUUGGAGCGGCCGAUGUCAGAUUAGGUAGUUGGUGGGGUAAAGGCUCACCAAGCCAACGAUCUGUAGCUGGUCUGAGAGGACGACCAGCCACACUGGGACUGAGACACGGCCCAGAGUCCUACGGGAGGCAGCAGUGGGGAAUUUUGGACAAUGGGCGCAAGCCUGAUCCAGCAAUGCCGCGUGCAGGAAGAAGGCCUUCGGGUUGUAAACUGCUUUUGUACGGAACGAAACGGUCCGGGUUAAUACCCUGGGCUAAUGACGGUACCGUAAGAAUAAGCACCGGCUAACUACGUGCCAGCAGCCGCCGUAAAAC
rnacentral:rRNA from 1 species